GAGUAGGGCGGGACACGUGGUAUCCUGUCUGAAUAUGGGGGGACCAUCCUCCAAGGCUAAAUACUCCUGACUGACCGAUAGUGAACCAGUACCGUGAGGGAAAGGCGAAAAGAACCCCGGCGAGGGGAGUGAAAAAGAACCUGAAACCGUGUACGUACAAGCAGUGGGAGCCUCUUUAUGGGGUGACUGCGUACCUUUUGUAUAAUGGGUCAGCGACUUAUAUUCUGUAGCAAGGUUAACCGUAUAGGGGAGCCGAAGGGAAACCGAGUCUUAACUGGGCGUUAAGUUGCAGGGUAUAGACCCGAAACCCGGUGAUCUAGCCAUGGGCAGGUUGAAGGUUGGGUAACACUAACUGGAGGACCGAACCGACUAAUGUUGAAAAAUUAGCGGAUGACCUGUGGCUGGGGGUGAAAGGCCAAUCAAACCGGGAGAUAGCUGGUUCUCCCCGAAAGCUAUUUAGGUAGCGCCUCGUGAACUCAUCUUCGGGGGUAGAGCACUGUUUCGGCUAGGGGGCCAUCCCGGCUUACCAACCCGAUGCAAACUACGAAUACCGAAGAAUGUUAUCACGGGAGACACACGGCGGGUGCUAACGUCCGUCGUGAAGAGGGAAACAACCCAGACCGCCAGCUAAGGUCCCAAAGUCAUGGUUAAGUGGGAAACGAUGUGGGAAGGCACAGACAGCCAGGAUGUUGGCUUAGAAGCAGCCAUCAUUUAAAGAAAGCGUAAUAGCUCACUGGUCGAGUCGGCCUGCGCGGAAGAUGUAACGGGGCUAAACCAUGCACCGAAGCUGCGGCAGCGACACUAUGUGUUGUUGGGUAGGGGAGCGUUCUGUAAGCCGUUGAAGGUGUGCUGUGAGGCAUGCUGGAGGUAUCAGAAGUGCGAAUGCUGACAUAAGUAACGAUAAAGCGGGUGAAAAGCCCGCUCGCCGGAAGACCAAGGGUUCCUGUCCAACGUUAAUCGGGGCAGGGUGAGUCGACCCCUAAGGCGAGGCCGAAAGGCGUAGUCGAUGGGAAACAGGUUAAUAUUCCUGUACUUGGUGUUACUGCGAAGGGGGGACGGAGAAGGCUAUGUCAGCCGGGCGACGGUUGUCCCGGUUUAAGCAUGUAGGCGGA
rnacentral:rRNA from 1 species